rnacentral:lncRNA from 1 species
ACAUAACCAACAUCACCACUAAAGCCAUUGUAGUUAUCAGCCCACAAAAAUACAAACUUUUUUACUCCUACAAUAAUGGGCAUUCUUCAUUGCUAAAACCAUUUGUUUCUCCAUUGAUUUCAUCUCUAACUUUACUUGCAAAACUAAAGAUUCUUCCUCACCUCUACCAUUCUCUUUUUUCAACUCCUCCAUCAUGCCAUUUAAAAAACGCACAAUCUCCAACCUUAUAAUUCUGGCAAUUGAAAAACCUCCUCUCGAUAUU